CCAUGUCCCUUAAGAAGUAAGCUUUUCAACGUAUGCAAAGGCGGCCGCUUUGUAUGUUUUGGGAAGGUUGCAUAGUCGGUUUGUUAGCUUACUGCGUCAGAGGUUGGCGAGCCCAAGAGACAAAAUGGCGUGGGAUUCGCCAUUGAGAAGCGUUGAUCUAGCAUAAGACGAUCCCACAGAAGCGAUUGUUGGCUAGAGUCAGGUUCCACUAAAUCGUAAUUCUAAA
rnacentral:lncRNA from 1 species